rnacentral:rRNA from 1 species
CUGUAAGCCUGUGAAGGUGGCCUGUGAGGGUUGCUGGAGGUAUCAGAAGUGCGAAUGCUGACAUAAGUAACGAUAAAGCGGGUGAAAAGCCCGCUCGCCGGAAGACCAAGGGUUCCUGUCCAACGUUAAUCGGGGCAGGGUGAGUCGACCCCUAAGGCGAGGCCGAAAGGCGUAGUCGAUGGGAAACGGGUUAAUAUUCCCGUACUUGGUGUUACUGCGAAGGGGGGACGGAGAAGGCUAUGUUGGCCGGGCGACGGUUGUCCCGGUUUAAGCGUGUAGGUGUGUGUUCCAGGUAAAUCCGGUUCACUUUAACACUGAGGCGUGAUGACGAGGCACUACGGUGCUGAAGCAACAAAUGCCCUGCUUCCAGGAAAAGCCUCUAAGCAUCAGGUAACAUCAAAUCGUACCCCAAACCGACACAGGUGGUCAGGUAGAGAAUACCAAGGCGCUUGAGAGAACUCGGGUGAAGGAACUAGGCAAAAUGGUGCCGUAACUUCGGGAGAAGGCACGCUGACAUGUAGGUGAAGUGAUUUACUCAUGGAGCUGAAGUCAGUCGAAGAUACCAGCUGGCUGCAACUGUUU